GAUGAACGCUGGCGGCGUGCCUAAUACAUGCAAGUCGAGCGAACAGAUAAGGAGCUUGCUCCUUUGACGUUAGCGGCGGACGGGUGAGUAACACGUGGGUAACCUACCUAUAAGACUGGGAUAACUUCGGGAAACCGGAGCUAAUACCGGAUAACAUUUGGAACCGCAUGGUUCUAAAGUGAAAGAUGGUUUUGCUAUCACUUAUAGAUGGACCGGCGCCGUAUUAGCUAGUUGGUAAGGUAACGGCUUACCAAGGCAACGAUACGUAGCCGACCUGAGAGGGUGAUCGGCCACACUGGAACUGAGACACGGUCCAGACUCCUACGGGAGGCAGCAGUAGGGAAUAUUAGGCAAUGGGCGAAAGCCUGACGGAGCAACGCCGCGUGAGUGAUGAAGGGUUUCGGCUCGUAAAGCUCGGUUAUUAGGGAAGAACAAAUGUAUAAGUAACCGUGCACGUCUUGACGGUACCUAAUCAGAAAGCCACGGCUAACUACGUG
rnacentral:rRNA from 1 species